GGAGGCUCUCAGGAGCGCCCUCUUCAGGUGGGAGGCCAGGCCCAAGCAGCACAGCAGGUCGACUGCAGUGAUGUCCCUGCUGUUCCACGCAGAGAGGAGAGCUAAGGUUUGGGCUACAAAAUGUUGAAAACCACUGCAUAGAAGCUACCACAACAUCCAACCACAAACUUGCCACCAGCAAUGGCAAAGAAAGCGGAAGGGAAGCAGAUGUGGUUGCUGCCACCUUGGAAAUUAUGGUACUAACAAGACUUUAUGUGAGGAGAGAUCUUUGUCUAUAGAUCUUUGGUUAUAUGUCUGAUUAUUUCCUGAGGAGAAAUUCCGGACAUCAAGUGUAUGAACAAUUGAAGGACUUUAGAAACAAAAUCAAAGUGCUUUGCAGUGAGAUGUUCUCAGCCCACCUGUCAGCAGUGAGGUGCUGCCCAACAGCACUUCUCAGCAUCAAGGAUGCCUUUGUCCCUGGAGGCUAUUCUGAAGACAGUACCCUACCUGCUCACCUUUCAGUGCGCCUGGGCACCCGCGUCCAUAUGGUGACCAUCAAAUUAUACUGCAUGAAGAAAAGCUGUUUUGCUGACUAUUUUUUAAUUUUUAAUUUUGCUUUGGUAUUACAAAUAGCACAUAUGAGCUUUAGGAAAUUGGAAAUACAGGAAAAACAGAAACAUAAAAAAUUACCUAUAACGCGUGUCUAUAAAUGAGUUGUUUUCCUGGUAUCCCUGCUUUUUGAGGACUCACUCUCCCUCCCACUAUGGGAAUUGUGCGGCACCCUCUGCAGACUGGCAUGCCCAUCGGCACAGCAGCCCUGAGAGCCUUCUUCCAUGGCUCCCCACGGAGACAGCAACAUGAGCAACUACAACAGCUCAGUGACUCACCUGGGCUUUGCAUGUUACCCAAGCUGGGCCACCCGAGGUUUUUCAAAAAGGGGAGUUUCUCUUUUUUCCUUCAAAAUUGUGAGCUAUGAAGAAGACCAGAUACACUGGAUCGCAUUUCCUACUACAUGGAGACGGACUGCUCGAGCGUGGGCCAACACAGCGGGAAGCAGAGCUGAGGCACUGAGAGGGGAGGGCUGAACCCUGGCUGCCUUUGGGACGGCUGGGACCCCUGUGACUUUGCCACUCCUCUUCUCACCUUUAAAUCUGGACUAGACUCCUGAAGUGGAAAUGAUAUCAUGUACAGUAUCUGAGACUCAGAGAAGCAAAAUCCUUGUCUCAAACACACAUACUUCAUACGUGGCGGAGCUGAGAUGAAAGCAUGGAUAUCUUGCCUCCAAGAACAGAGUCUUUCAAGGAGCUCCUCAGAAGGAGGCAGGAGGAGUCUUCAGACCCUCUUCUGGUGAAUGAAAUUCCUUGACCAGAAGCCAAGAUAAUAAAUCCUGAGCCUAAGUCAUUCUGAGCCUUGGACUGAAGAUCUGAAAUCUAGUCUGGGAAGCGCUUUCACAUUUCUUACAACCAAGAAUGGAAAGGCUCUUUUGUGAACAAACUUUACCUUGACACAUUGAAGAUCCCCAGCUCGAAGUGUUUUCUCUUUCAGCGCAGGAGGGGUGGCCGCGGGUGGACUCCUGUGUCCUCCGUAUGGUCCCGUAGCACCUGAGUCCGUGCAGCUGCCUCAGCCUCUCCACUCCUCGGGCCCCUUCAUGUUCAGGAACGCUGGGCUGCCUGCCGUUGUUUUUCCUGAUUAAUCAUACUCAUCAUGUACAACUCUGUCCAGCACCAUCCAUUCCAUCAAUCUUCCUUGAAGUAGGUCCACCUGGAAUAAUUGAGCAUCUCUCAUCAUGGGAUGCUCCACAAUACAUUGCAGUUAUCUCUAUUUACAAAUAUCUUCCCUAUGGGCUGGAAGCUUUUUGAGAACAAGAUUUUUGCCUAACCCAGCAUUUUCCUAAAUUAAUGUGCAUCCAAAUUACUUAGGAAUUCUGUUAAAAGGUAGAUUCUGAUUCAGUGAGCUCGAGGUGUGGCCUGACGCUGCCUUUUGACUAAGCCCCCAGGUGAUGUCAGUGUCACUGGUUUUGGUCCGCGGCGUGAGUAGCAGGCUUCUUUGCGCUCUCAGGACCCAGAACAACAUGACAGAUUACGCUUAUAGCAAAAGAGAAUUGCUAAGUUUCGCCCCAGUGGAUCUCAAUUCUGCCUCUGUGUCAGAACCACAUGAGGAGACUUCAUAACCAGUUCUGCCGUGUAGAGCCCACCCUGUGAGAUUCUCAUUUGACUAGUCUGGAAUGGACCCCGGCCACUGCUAGGUCUCAAAGCUGGAACGUGCCCCUUGGUUUGGGAACCACCGGCUGAGACUCUUUGAAAAUGGGGAUUCUUCUUGUUAUUUCUGGGCCUGGACCUGGUGCCCUGGGGCCACUUAGUAUGAGUUGGUUGAGUAAAUUAACUCCUUUAUCUUGGCUCAGUUUCAGUGUUUCUAUGAUACUUUCAUGUCUUCAGGGUGGGUGGAAAAUUUUCUUAAAAAGGCAGGUGGUGGUGGAAGUGACACAUUUAUGAGGUGACAGAGUUAAGGGUAAACGUGUCAGGGGGCUCUGAAUUAGUAAGUAAGCCAACUCUAGUGACAUCUUAGGGCUCAGAGUGGGUGGUAGACGAGCCCCUGUAAGGAGGCCACGCCUUUUAAAGUUACUGCAAGAAAGAAGCCUUGCCCAGAUGAUAGUUGAAAUAGUCCUCUUUAACAGCCAGUCCAGCAUGGGGGAAAUUUGAAUUAAACACUUUAUUGUUUAGUCUGUUCCUAUAUUUUAAAAUAGUUGAUGUAGAUGUAAGUAGGGAACCAAACCGCCUGAAGUCCAGGCAUCUGAGCAAAAAGGAUUACUGGGAAACCUCUGCUGACUUCAGAAGAAUUGCAUUUUCAAUCAUAAGCUUUCCAAGGUUGAAAAGGUUAGGACAGUCUCUUCGAGAGGCCUUCAUAAUGAAAAAAGAAAGAAAUUAUGGCCCAGGAAGGCUCUUGGUACCAGACCAAGAGACAAAACGGUUAUUUGAGAAGUAGAUUUAACUAAUAAAUGUGGGACUAUCUAGUAGUCAGGGGCAGCUAAGUGUUCAGUGGCUGGAGACAGGUGUGUGCCCACCAGCUCUGGAGUGCCCACUGGUAAAUUUCCAGUUCUGUGGGCCAGUUUUUAAAUACAGUUGUUAUUAAAAAUUAA